rnacentral:rRNA from 1 species
AGUGAACGCUGGCGGUAGGCCUAACACAUGCAAGUCGAACGGCAGCACAGUAAGAGCUUGCUCUUACGGGUGGCGAGUGCGGACGGGUGAGGAAUACAUCGGAAUCUACUUUUUCGUGGGGGAUAACGUAGGGAAACUUACGCUAAUACCGCAUACGACCUACGGGUGAAAGCAGGGGAUCUUCGGACCUUGCGCGAUUGAAUGAGCCGAUGUCGGAUUAGCUAGUUGGCGGGGUAAAGGCCCACCAAGGCGACGAUCCGUAGCUGGUCUGAGAGGAUGAUCAGCCACACUGGAACUGAGACACGGUCCAGACUCCUACGGGAGGCAGCAGUGGGGAAUAUUGGACAAAGGGCGCAAGCCUGAUCCAGCCAUACCGCGUGGGUGAAGAAGGCCUUCGGGUUGUAAAGCCCUUUUGUUGGGAAAGAAAAGCAGCAGGUUAAUACCCCGCUGUUCUGACGGUACCCAAAGAAUAAGCACCGGCUAACUUCGUG